CCCUUCACUACGGAAUAGCCUCUGGAAACGGAGAGUAAUACCGUAUACGCCCUUUUGGGGAAAGAUUUAUCGGUGAAGGAUUAGCCCGCGUCUGAUUAGAUAGUUGGUGGGGUAACGGCCUACCAAGUCGACGAUCAGUAGCUGGUUUGAGAGGAUGAUCAGCAACACUGGGACUGAGACACGGCCCAGACUCCUACGGGAGGCAGCAGUGGGGAAUCUUAGACAAUGGGCGCAAGUGAUCUAGCCAUGCCGCGUGAGUGACGAAGGCCUUAGGGUCGUAAAGCUCUUUCGCCAGGGAUGAUAAUGACAGUACCUGGUAAAGAAACCCCGGCUAACUCCGUGCCAGCAGCCGCGGUAAUACGAAGGGGGCUAGCGUUGUUCGGAAUUACUGGGCGUAAAGCGUACGUAGGCGGACUGAUCAGUCAGGGGUGAAAUCCCGGGGCUCAACCCCGAACUGCCUUUGAUACUGUCAGUCUUGAGUUCGAGAGAGG
rnacentral:rRNA from 1 species